GGACAUUAUGGCUGGUUGUGUAAGGCUGGCCAGUGCCGUUCUUUUACGCUGAGAAUGAACUUGGCGGCAUCUGAUUGUGACCUAUAGACAAUAUUAAAUGAGGAUGUCGCAUGUCUUAAGUACUUACAAAGCUGUAUAUGAAGCUGUAUAUGGUAUAAUUAUUUAUAUCAGUGAAACUUACUGGCCUGGAGCCUGUCCUCUUGUUCGGUUCAUCACUCUGGGUGUCCAACAGUUGUUUUACAACCUCUUGUAGGCAUGCUUCUUAUAGCUAUCCAAUGAUAGUAAGCAGAAAGUUUAAGAUUGCUCAUUUCUUGCUUGGAAAAAGCACCUAAACGCAUACUCCAUAACUAUUAGAACCUGCGCCAUUAAUUAAUGCGAUGCACUGCAGCUCUGAACUGAAUUGACUAUGAGUAAGACGGUAAGGAUGUUUGGUAUAUUUUUAUCAUCUAGUAAGAAAUUGAUGGGAGCUUGCGACUUCAGUGAGUUCUCUUUUCAGCUCCGGCUAAAACAGUUUGUUCGGAGAAAUACACCUGUGUCCUUAGCCGCAGGGAAAAGCGCACUGUAGUCGAGGAAGAUCCCAGACACCGGGGGUACCAUAUACUAGCAACUGACCACCCCUAACUAUUGUUUACAAACAUUCACAAUAACAUUCACAAUAUUGUGUUCUCACUGUGACAUGGUUCGAUCUCUUUGGAGAUGAAAGGCUGGCAUUUAUAAGGGAAUGUGUGGACUUCAUUGAGGCUACCAAUCAAACUCCAUCAAAAGAGCAGUUGAAUGAUACGGCUAAGCAACUCUGUGACAGGGUACCCAGCAUUGAAAGAUCAAAGGAAGUCAAUGUAUUGGGUAAGUACAUGUACACAACUUUAGGCUCGCUAUAUAGCUUAGGUAUUAAUUAUGCUAACAUGCGCCUAGGAAAACAACCCAAACUAGCUCAUUACAUUAGAGUGUGUGUGGUGUGUGGUUGGUGCUUCAAUUAGAGCGGUGCGUAGUAACAGUAAAAGUAAUUAGUAGCGACACCGAAUUUUGUAUAUAAGACCAGCUGGAUAGUAAACCUGAGGGGCUUGCAGAAGCCACUAAUCACUCCCAAAGGGUUACUAUCCAGUAAGCAGUACUACACAUGGUCUAUCUCGCUUAGAAAAUGCAGGGUAACCUCUGCUAGCAGGUUUCUUAGUUGGAUAGACACGUGCAGCAGUGGCCACUUCAAAGCGCAAAUUUUUUCUAAAUUAGAGGGUGCGUAGUACUAGCGACAUCGAAUUUGUAAGAGAGGUAAGUGUGUUGAACUUUGAACCCAUCACUCGAGAACGAAGCACAACCCCAGUAGUCAAAAUCGAAAACACCACGCAUGCAUGCUGAUUCCUCGAUGGAGGUGCAAGCUACAUAACAUAUACACAUAUUAUAUCUUGAUGAACAUUUUAAAUUUUGCUGCAUGCAGACAGAAACCUUGAGUCCAGGAAUCAUAGGAAAACUUAGGAAAACUCAAAGAGAUUGAGAAUGAUUGUUGUUAAAAACGGUUGAUGCAGCAGAGCCUUGCAGCUUUCUUCUCACUCUUGCAACUACCAAUAGCUAAACUACCAAUAGCUAGCGUUCUAGUGCUAGUAAGUAGAGUAGCAACACUCGGUGAACUAGUUUUGCUACGUACUCUUCUGACUGCAGGCAUAACUCGAGAACGAAGCAUUAUUUUACAAAUCCAUGAAUACCAAUCCAAGAAAACCAAGAAAACAGCUUAUAGAAACUCUUACUUACACUUCAUUGAGUAACAGUCUACACAAACACACUACCGUAUACCUCGCUUGCGCAUGCGCACCGAGGCAUAACAGUCCCAUAGAAGAAACGAUGACACACACUACGAGGAUUAAUGAUGCCUCGAGUACCCAGUUAAUCUCUUGUUAGUUGAUGUUGAUUGUUAGUUGAUGUUGAAGAGAGAACUGUUGGGAGACCAUGUGCUGAAAUAAACUUUGAGGAAGCUUCGUUCAUUAAAUUUAAAUUGGAGCAUAAUUUGUUCAAGGAUUGGUGUGUCAAGACAAACUUUGUAUCGUCGGCUAAAGAUGGAAGGAAUUCUUGAAGAUAUGCAGUAUUUAGACAAUGAUCUUGAUGACAUCAUUCGCGACAUCAUUCGCCACAUAAAGAUUGAUCACCCCAAUGAUGGCGAGGGUGGCCACAUCCGAAUUCAACGCUAUCGGCUUGUUGAACGCCAAUUGUGAGAGCAUGCAAAUUAUGUGUGGCACAUAGAUGGGCACCAUAAGUUAAUUAGAUGGCACCUAGUAACUCACGGUGGUAUUGAUUGGCUUUUCUUGCCUAAUCACUUUCCUCAAAUGUUCCACCAACAACACAGCGCUGUCAGUGUUCUCUGAAGUCUUCCUAAACGUGUCAGUUAGGUGGCGAGACUGUUGCUGUGUGGCGUAUGAUAUCGCAGUACGGGGAUCAAUCAGUACUGGAAGCUCCACCCAUAACGAACGUAUCGAGCGGUCCGUUGUGUUUCCAAGCUGUUCUAUGACACUAUUCACUCUCUCCUUUGAAUGAAACCUUUGAAUGAAACCGAUAUUAUUCUGCCUUGUAUGUUCCCAUAAUCAAUCGAUGUUUGCAAGAAUUUGUUGAGUCCUGGAACCAACACCAUCAAUUGCGGUCGUUACCUUCAACCCAACUGGACCUUAACGUUGGUGAUGGUACGUUGUGUAGCGCAAGACCUAUUGAUCGUGUCCUAGGAGUACCUUCCGGUGCUGCUCUGUUAACAUUUCGCAUAGAUUAACAUUUCGCAUAGAUGCAGUUGGCACCCAUGUUUCAGCUUGCGAAUGAACUUGUUGUAAUUAUAACUAGCUUUGUGUAGUCAUGCUUAGCCGCACAAGGAAUAAAUUUGUAAUUUAUAGCUACAGUUAUGUCUCGAGGCUUAGCCGCACAAGGAAUAGAAUUACUUCUAACAUGGGUCAUUAAGGUGUAAAUUCAACGAAUCAUCCUUUGAAACAUGGUCAUGUAACUUACAUAAUAAUUAUAGCGAUCAAUGUCCAAGUUAACAAAAAUAACAAAAAUAAUUAUGAGGACUUCAGUGUUGCCACGCGGCAGGAGGUUAAAUGAACCAGAUAUAAUAACACAACACCUGUUCUAUAAUGAGACUCAAAAAGCUCCUGGCUCUCAAUGUUCGUAGGUAGAGUUAGGACAGGUCCACACGUAGAGGCUAAAGGAAACGUACUUCAAGGGAUGGGGGCCUAGAAAAACCGUGGCAAACGCUAGCACUACCUCCAGCCCAUUUUAUUCAUGGCUAACAACUACAAGAUUCAAAAAGCAUUGGUAUUACUAUAAAAUGCCCCUCAAUUAUUAUGCAUUUUUUUACAAUCUACAUUUUUAUCUUGUAUCUAGAAUGUGUUUCUGUUGAUGGGUUUCUGUUGAUGGAUUGGAAACGAAAAUGUUUGCGUGAAACAGUUAUAAGGUGUGGCUAAAACUACAAAGGAUCAUAUUUCAUUACCUGUCUUGCUGCCACACAAUGUGCUGUACAUACCACUUUUAAUGUUAAAAAGUAAAGAGAAUCUAGCUCUAAAAGGUCGACUAAGCAACGCAGCCACAUCAAGAAACAGCUCUUACUAUGAAGGUCAAGGCCCGUGGUGGUGUCUCUAAAAGUAUACGACUAUACUGCAAACGUUUAGCAUAAAACCAUCCUAUAUAGCACUUAGAUACAUAAUAACCAAGUCCUGUCAAGCAAUGUCCUUUGCUGUUUCGGCUUCACAGCGUGACAUAGGGUCAACAAAAAGUAAAAACAGAGAGACAACUUACUUCUCUAGAGUACCUCCCAGCUCCUGAGUGAUCGCUAGUGGAUAGGACGGUAAAAACUAAAAUAUUCGCGAGCACGAAAUCAUAACGCGGAGUGUUUCACCCGUUGACACAGGGCGGCUUUCCAAUCCCUUUCCUGUUCUAUCUAUGUACAAACCAACUUGUGUCUAUGCUGAUAUCAUUUUUAACUAAUUAAGCACCCUGCGGGUCUGAUAGUGACGGGGUGACAUACUCCUACCGUAACCUGGUUUACACCUACAGUUGGAUACUCCUCUAUGUAUUCCAUAAAGAAAUUCAAAACAAGUACUUGUUGUUCUACUUCUCGGGCAUUAAGUUUGUACACUGCUCAUUCAAAUCCAUUACCUUGUGGAGGACCCGAAACAUCAUCACUUUUUGCAUCCACAUUUAAAAAAUGAUGUACCUACAAACAAGUAACGGAAACCCGGCCAUAUGGAAUCAUAUGGAAUUGGUGUUUUAGAGCACUGUGAAGUUCACAACUCGAUUAGACGCAGCAGUGCUCUGAACACAGCAGACGGAAGUAUUCUCUGCUAGGCUUCCUCACCAUGGAAUAUGACCUCAACUGGUUUUGUUGCUCAUAUAGCUUUUAAAGUCAGACGCACCACUACCUAUCUCUUUAAUUGUGUCAAUCAAUUCUUUUAGGUUUCUGUGAGCGUUCGCUUGCUUUUCUGAUGGAGGAACAUUCUGCAAGAGUGCAGAUACUUGUAGCUUGUUUGGAGAGAAAGUAUCUCAUCAGUACUCUGUACAGGGCCUCCCAUGAUUCAAGAAGAAACCGGUGCGUACGUUUGAAAUUCGUACCUAAUGACCUUGGCAGGUAGCCACUAGAUCUUGCUAGGUCACUCAGACCUGCAUCAAAGUAUAUCUUAAGCAAUACCUCCUGGUAAUUCUUUAAGAAGUGCCAAUCCCCAGCGAAUAAGAUGAGCCAUUGCUUUCGUUCCCAUAUUCUAAAGAGCAUUGGCGAUUGAUGGUAAACAGUAUCUGGCAUAGAGUAAACACACUCUUGUUGGACGGUUGUGUUAUUAGACAUGCAGCCUUCCAUAUUGCCGGGUCAAGAUUAUCAACAAAUGCAUCUACAUCAAAAUGUUUAAUUGUGUGUGGCUCUAAUUGUGUGUGGCUCGACAGAGUCAGCUGUUAUCAGUUUGUUAGCAUGAGCAUGUAGCAUGUAGCUUGCUAUUAAUACUCUUGUGUAAGCAUACAUGUAGCAUCUUCUUCGUUAGCAUGUACAUUUGUGUUUCUUUGCCCGAGAGCGCAUGUACAAGAUCACCCCCAUAGCGGUAUAUUAGUGUACCAUAUUUUGGAAUGGAAUUGCACACCUGUAAGCCAUGUGAUGCUGUAGCAGUGAGCUUCUUAGCCAAGUAUGACUGUGAAGAUCUUUGUCUUCCUUUUGUAUAUCCGAUUUUGUAGCAAUGGAAUCUAGUUCGAGUUUAAAUUUCGAAUACACUUGUGGUAGUAGAAAUGCGGUCUGUUUUAGAAGGCCUUCACCAACUGUAAUAGCUAGUAUGUGAACAGUAUUACAUUCUCCCAAGUACGAACAUCUGACAAUCUAGGAAGAUUCUGUUUUUUCUCCGAAAGUAGAUCUGUCAGGUCUGCAUCUGUGCUCGUAACUUAACAUGAGACUUAUAGCAAGCAUAACACACACGAUCAUCUGGUUGAAAGGUGCUUUUGAAUUCAGUAUUAGGAAAUGUUGGAGUACUACUGGCUCUGGCACAGGACGGCUUCUGUUACGAAUAUGUUUUCCACAUGUUUUGCAGUCACUAUGUGUUGCGUGUGCAUGCCUGUACCAUUGCAUGUAGUGAUAUGAGCAAAUUGGUAGUUCCAUCUUCAAAGGUAGCAUCAUUGUGCCCCGCUGGGAAAAAUUGUGAUUAUUGUUGUGCAUCGAUUGACUUGGCUUUAAUGUCAGUGUUCGUACAAUUAGGAAUAUAACAGAUCAGUUUUAUGAUACCUGUAUUCUUUCUCCAUCUAGGUGAGAAGCUAAUAAUAUCAUUUACAUCGCUUACAUCCCUCCUACAAAGCAAGCAGUUGCUGCAGCAGUGAAGAAGGAUCUUUCUAGGAUUUGGGAUGGGAAUACUCUUUCUUCUUACACAGAGCACAUUCUUCGCAUGAUCGGCCUGGAUGUACUGCUGAAGUUACAUGACGCGACUCUCUUCCAGUAUCUCUAGCAGAUCUGUAUUAAAUAAUAAUUAUUUGUUGUGUUGAUAAUUUUGUGUGCAUUGUUUUCAUAGCAAGUGGUCAACUCUUGUACAACCAUUAAACUAAUGAAUAUACAGUAGAACAGCCCAAUUUUUUGGACAUAAUUCGCAUCAGCCUUUGAAGUAUUGAUGUGCAAACUUUGGAGUUGAUGGCAGGUAGGUUUGAUGGCUGCACAAACAGCUCUCGUGUAAAGCAAGACUCAGUGUUAAAAUUGUGAGAUGAUGAGAUGCAAAUAUAAUUAUAUUCAAGGAAUAAAAAGUUACACUGAGCUAAAGUUAGUGCAGAAAUUGAGCUUGAAACCGCAGGUCCAGAUAGACAACUUCCGGUUCGUGAGGUAAAUUUGGCCUUGGUCAUUCGACUGUCUAGGAUCAUCAGCCGGGCAUAGGCAAGCUUAUCGUGGUGAGAAUUGCUGUGUAAGUCAGGAACGGACAUCCCUCAUGCGGGGGCUGAUAUGUUGCCUGGAGCGUGGAUGCUAGUUGUCGGCCAGCAAUUCUCGCAUCUCCACAAAUUGACCACAAAUUGACCAGAUCGAAUCUUGUCGACAAUUUUUUGUGGGACGGGCGCUUCUGCCGGUGAGAGAAUCAGUCCGCUUCCACCAUAGGAUGACUGUGGCAAUUGGUAUGUAGAUGGGGCGCUGAGUUGGUUUUGGGUCAACGGGACCGAAGAUAACAGCGCUGGUGGUGGUUGGAUUAGAUAUUAGUGAGGCGAAGUGUGAAUGAGGAAAACAAAACAAAAGCAAAAACAAUAGAAGCGUGAGAUAUAGCCACGCGAGUGAAUAAUGCGAGAUAGGGCUGUAGCGUAAAUAUACUAGUACUGGCUGCAAUAGUACGGAAUAGGGCCAAUGCCAUGUGAAUGAGUGGUGUGGAUGUGCGCCAAAGCAGUGGCUGUUAGUCUGAGUCAGUUUGCCCUAGCCAGUGCUGUAGUGUUAAGCCCACGUGUUAUCAUGCGCACUCAGUAGUGCAUAUAUAUGCUGUUAGUCUGCCAAGCCACAAGAGCUAGGACUGUAGUGUUAAUCCCACGUGUCAUAGUGCUUAUCUGAUAAGCACUCACAAUUAAGGAUGCUUGCGGUUAGGUAGUGGAAUUGAGAUACUAUGCUGUGCUAUAGUCAUACUGGGCAGCAAGUGUUUGACGCGAUGCUGCUCCAGCCGCUGGCAAUUAGCUAUAAUUAUGGCAGAAGUAAUCAACAAAAUAAUCAACAAAAUAAUCAACAGGUGUAUUCCACAACGCUAUGUGAGAAGCAUAAAAAAUGCGUACCAAGUACUUUUUGCUGACGUACUUUUUGCAUGGCUUCACCGUGUCAUUCGUAAUCUCAAAUCCUGCGAAUUCUACUUCGUCUUGGGCGAAUCGGAAUUUGUCUGGGUUGAUGCUUGGAUUCUGGUGAUCCCCGUUAUUCUGGUGCUGGGAUCCGUCGAGAUGUAAGACGGGAGACGGGAGACGAUACCACUUUGGCUGGUGAUGUGAUCAUUGUAGAUACUGAAGCCAGUCAUCUCGCAGUCAUAAAAAAAUCAGAAGUGGAUUUGCGUUGUCACUGCUAACCUCUUCGUCAUUCUGUGACUGGUCAUCAACUCCUGACUCAGCAUCAAUAUCAGCAGAUAGUCUCCAUGUAAGAUUUCUCUUGCUCGUGGUGUGUUUUCUUCUGGAGGUUCCUAUUCCAUGUCUACAUAGUGCCCAUGUGCCUAUGUAUAUAAUUACCCCUCUUGUGGAUAUGUUCUCUUCUUAUGCGAUCCGAAUCCCACUCCUGCUGCUCCUGACGUCACAGCGUCUAGUGGUACAUCGACCCCCAUCUGAACAAGACAGAAAAUCCUCCACACAGGUCCAAGGUUCAAGAUCAGAGCUAAACCGUGGAAGCCUUCAACAGUUGUUGUCAGCCUCCCAUGGUCAGAUACAUAAUCCAGAUACAUAAUCCUGGGGGUAUACACUCAACCAGUCCCUUAAAGCCUUCAACUUGAGCCAGGCAGGUGAAUUUGUGCUUUCCUCUGUAUGGGCUGCCAUCCUCCGUCAGCUAUAAAAUAGCUUAUUAAUCAGAAACAUGACUUUACGUACCUUAUCAUGACAGCACCAUGACAGCACCAGGGAGAUGAAUGCUCAUCCAGGCAGUAGUGCUGAUAAAAGUUGAGAAUUGCCUCAGAGAAGGCAUUUUCCUUCCCCAUGAUCUGGUCUGAGGCGAUCAGGUUGGCCUUACAACCCUGGCAUCUGUCAUGCGUUUGCAUUUGAAGCUGGCUGCCCGGCACUGCAAAUAGUAGGAUACCUUCGGGAAAAUGCCGACAGAAAAUACUCGAGGACUUACUUCAAAAACAAAACCAGCAGCAUUCACCUUGCCUAAUAUCUCAUUAAACAUAUCCCCCUUGGUACUGCCGGAUGUGCCCUCCCAAUUGUGCCCUGGACCUUUCUUAGUUCUGUGAGAAAACCAUGCAAUGGCACCGCUCUCGUAAUCGUGCAAAGAAGCUGAGGAAUUGUUGGAAUAGUGGCCCCGGGUCAGCCAUCAUAGGAACCAACCCAUUUUUUGUCAUCACCACUGUUCACAAUAUUUUUUCGUACCUGACCACAGGACCAUUCCGCUAACUUUGUGACGUGGAUCUCCUGACUCUCUAGCUUCUGAAUGAUGUGCGAUGCCAUUGUGUGCUGGAACAUGGUGGAAGACCCAACCAGCCACUCAAUCGAACGUAAUCAACAUGCAGGUGGAGAAACUGGGUAAUAUUGUUGCCACAAACAGUUUGAAUCGUGGAUAGUACAAAGCACUGAAAAGAAACGCCUCCACUCGACACAAAUGAAGACAGUGUUUCGAGUCUCUGCACUAUUCCCAACCUUACAUCUGUCAAUGCUAGUUCAGGAACUUGGACACUCAUGCUGAUUGUACUGGGACUGGGGUCUGUCUGCACACUUGCGCUGAUUGUACUGGGACUGGGGUCUGUCUCAUCUACUGAAGUCUGCACUCCUACAUGUAGAUCGGGUCCUAUGCUGGACAAAUCUGCUCUGUAUUUAAUAUGGUGUAGAUUUAUUUGUUAUUAAUUACUCUGUGUAGCUUACCUAAUCUUAUUUUCUUGGCUUCAGUUGCAGCUAGAAGUGGAGGCAUUCUCACAAAACCAAAGUCUAGUCAAUGUUUUUACUUUGUGUGCAUGUGGUUACUACUGCAGCUGUUCAUCUACCGUUAGCGCACGCAUUUCUGCGAGUGCAAGUCUCAGAUUGCACACGUGAUCUAACGUUGCAUUUUUGUGGUUAAAUUAUGUCAAUUUGUUGCUAUGUGCGGGCACCCUUAAGGGACAAUCGAAUAACACACUACCGCGUGCUGAAACAACAUGUUUGUUUUUACAGUGUAUGCUUGAUAUGAUAUAUGUACAUGAUAUAAUUAUAUAGUAUGCUAGUAUGUACAUGAUAUAUAUAGUAUGUACAUAAUUAUAACAUGAUAAUUAUAGCUAAUAGCUACUGCUACUAAAAUAACACUUUUGGCGCCCCAUAAAAAUGUAUAUUAUUAUAAAACCAUUUUUACAGAGGGUGUGUUUAAAAAAUUAAUAGACCUUUUUACUUAACUCAAUGGAAUGUGCUGACAUUGCAAUUAGUUACACCCAUUUUACUAUCAAAUGUGCAUGAAAAUGAUCACUUUAGCUGUACUGCCAUGUGCUUGAUCUAUUUAUGCAAGACGGCAUGCAAAAUUGAAGUUUUAGAAUGAAUAAUGCACGAGUGAUUGUUAGCAAGCGCUCAGGAGAGGAGCUACAGCCCAAGCAGUUAUGACAGUAAAUCCAACCUUCAGUGACUUGCAGCUGCAGUAAGCUAAGGUAUAGAGGAUUUGUUGCAGAAAAAUCACUCUUACUGGUUGGAUUACUGUCUUACCUGCUUGUUUUCUGUGGGCUCUCCUGAGCGCUUGCUAACAAUCACUCGUGCAUUAUUCAAUAGCUAAACUUCAAUUUUGCAUGAUCAAGCAUCAUUUUCAUGCACAAUUUUCAUGCACAUUUGAUAGUAAAAGUCGGCGUGACAGCAGCACUUCCGUCCCAAAUUAACUCUAAUGAAAUUCCUUCUACCGUUGUGUGGAAAGGACUAGAGUUUUUCAUUGAGGUGUGUUUUAAAGGAGGUGUGUUUUAAAAAAUUAAGUAGUGCAAGUUUUUCAUUUUGUAAGACAGGUUCCUUGAGGCAAUGGGCGUGGGCAGACGCACUGAGUGCGGCACAUAGAAAAUCAACCUCAGGCAGGUAGUUGCAGGUAGUUGAAAGUACAAAGCUGCUCUGUUGACAGACUCGAGUGCAAGAGCAAGGGAGAGGGUAGGUCAAGCUCAAGUGCCUUGAUGGUGCCGUCUAUGUCGACUAGACUAGCCUAAGUUGGAGAUGAACAAACUGUUUAAUUGGAGCAUUGUUAGAAAGCGGACAUCCCACUUCAUCAGUAUUAGAAGUAAAAAGUAAGUAGAGAACAUUGACUUUGGUGGUCAGUUGUACUAAUCCGUGAAUAUCUAAUUCUGACUGAGUUUACCUUAUUAGUAGGUUCCUACUAUCCCUGAAGCAAGAAGCUGUUACAAAAGGCCUGUACCAGAGCACCACCACGUGGUCCAACAGCCAGGCUGUGAGUAUGAGACCCGUGAUGUGGAUUGCAGCUGUACUCAUCACAACCCACUCAACCAGCGAAUCGAACAGCUCAUCAGCUGGCACGACCGAGGACUGGCACUACUUCAAGUCGAGAUGGAACGAGCGACUAGGUUGGAAGGCACUGACAAGGGCUGUGAUGACCAGCUCCGCAAGGACCUCACCAGGGAGUGUGGCGUACUCCUAGUAACCACUAACCACAAACACUCAAUCUGUGGUCAAGUUGAACUAUGUGCUGACUAGAAAUAUCUUAGUUGUUCUAGAGUAUUCUUACACUAAGCAAUUUUCUGGACUAUUCUAUGUAUUGUUCUGGUUUGUUCUAGAACUGUUUUGUUUUGUAUUUCAGUUUUGUGUGUAAGUUGUGUUAUUCGUGCGUGUGUUAUUCGUGCGUGUUCUUUAUGGUUUAAGACAGCUGUUAAAGUCAAUUCUCCUAGAGUCAAGAGUACUACGUUACAGUUGGUGGCAGCGGUGGGAUUCUCAAUUGUCCUGACUCUACUCGACAAGCCUGAGAUAGCCGUGUGAAAGACUUUAGUGUGACUGGUACUGGCAUAUGACUGAGCAAGGUGGGAGUAGGACAAGAGCCACGAUGGAAGAAGAACACCAAGAUGUGCAGACGAAUGG